rnacentral:rRNA from 1 species
UCCGUAGGUGAACCUGCGGAAGGAUCAUUAUCGAAACAUGUCUUCUCGACUGGGUUGUCGCUGGCUCCUCAGGAGCAUGUGCACGCCUGUUCUGGACUUCAUUUUCAUCCACCUGUGCACCUUUUGUAGUCUUUGGUGGGGUAUCGAGAGGUCGGUGGCCAGCCUUUAUCAGCUCCGGCUGGAUCUGAGGACUUGCAGGGGGAUCUGCAGGGCUGCGCCGCUGCUUGUCCAUGGAAUCUGACAUUUCCUCGAUCGGGGAGUCUAUGUUUUUCAUAUACACCUGUAACGCGUUAUUGAAUGUCUUUACAUGGGCUUCUAUGCCUAUGAUAAAUUGUAAUACAACUUUCAGCAACGGAUCUCUUGGCUCUCGCAUCGAUGAAGAACGCAGCGAAAUGCGAUAAGUAAUGUGAAUUGCAGAAUUCAGUGAAUCAUCGAAUCUUUGAACGCAUCUUGCGCUCCUUGGUAUUCCGAGGAGCAUGCCUGUUUGAGUGUCAUUAAAUUCUCAACUCUCCUAUCCUUUGUUCGUAAAGGAGGGCUUGGAUUGUGGAGGCCUUGCUGGCCGACGUCUGUCUGUCUUUCGGCUCCUCUGAAAUGCAUUAGCGGAACUGUUUGCGAUCUGCCACAGGUGUGAUAAAUUGUCUGCACUGAGCGAGGGUGAUUGCUCUCUUGUGUUCGGCUUCUAAUCGUCUUCUGUGACAAUUUAUGUUGAAUGCUUGACCUCAAAUCAGGUAGGACUACCCGCUGAUCUUAAGCAUAUCAAUAAGCGGAGGAAAAGAAACUAACAGGGAUUCCCCUAGUAACUGCGAUGAAAGGCCGGGAAAA